UAAGGUCCAUCAUGCUGGGGGUGAGAGGUCUGGGAAUUAUCUUGCACUAUGGGAAGCUAUUCCAAUAAAAUUUGUAUUCGUUUUCUUUUCUUUUUUUUGGUUGCUUUGAGAAUCAUGCUUGUAUAAUUUUGCCAAGUUUAACACGUGGAUGAGUUUAGAGGAGUUCACAUAUAUAAUUUGACCUUAUCAAGUCAACAAGGCACACACAAAGUUCAUGGUUAUGUGAAGUGAAUGAGAAACACCCAC
rnacentral:lncRNA from 1 species